rfam:Oryza sativa (indica cultivar-group) chromosome 6, whole genome shotgun sequence.
AAAAAAGUAAACCAUGGAUUUUCGUGCUAACGUUUGAUUGUCCGUUUUAUAUAAAAAUUUUUUAUAAUUAGUAUUUUUAUUAUUGUUAAAUGAUAAAAUAUGAUUAAUACUUUAUGCGUGACUUAACUUUUUAAUUUUUUUCAUAAUUUUUUUAAAUAAGACGGACGAUCAAACGUUGGUACGAAACCCACAGUUUACCUUUUU